CAGGAAUGCCGGGAAGAAAGGGAAAGCGACAGGGAAAAAGGCCUUUCCCGUGCUUCAGCCCUUUGGGAACUGGCACUGAGGAAGAAGGCAAGGGAAUUAGAGAGAGGAGGCAGAUGGAGUGUCGAGGACAACAACCAGGGAUUUGGAGCCCCAAACACUUAGCACGCGGGAGCUCCUGAUCUGCAUUUCUGACUACCUGCUGGACAUUUAUUUCCAUGUGAGUGGGCCUGUGGCACUUUAAGCUUAAUAUGGCCAAAACGGAAUUCAUCCUGUUUUCCAAGCUGCACCAGUUCCUCCAGUGCCCUCGGGCUGAGUGGCAAAGCUUUGUAAACUGCAUCUCACAAGUCUCUCUUCUCCCACUGGAAUGUAAGCUCUGAGAGGACAGAUUUCUCUGUGCCUAGAACUUUGUUGACUGUCACAAGUUAUCCAGGUUCAACAUCAUGGAGUCAUCUUUCAAUUCUUCUUCCUUGGCCAGGCGUGGUAGCUUAUGCCUGUAAUCUCAGCAUUUCGGAAGGCCGAGGCAGGAGGAUCACUUGAGGACAAG